rnacentral:rRNA from 1 species
GGUCAAAUAACUGUAGGCUUACGGUGGAUACCUAGGCACUCAGAGACGAAGAAGGGCGUGGUACCGACGAAAUGCUUCGGCGAGCUGGAAACAAGCACUGACCCGGAGAUUCCCGAAUAGGGCAACCUCUUGAACUUCAUGUUGAAUUCAUAAACAUGAAAGAGGCAACCCGCUGAAUUGAAACAUCUUAGUAGGCGGAGGAAAAGAAAGCAAACGCGAUUCUCUUAGUAGCGGCGAGCGAAAAGGGAAAUGCCUAAACCGGAUGGAUUUAUCGAUCCGGGGUUGUGGGAAGAAACCAAAAAAACGUCGAAUGUUUUAAAAAGCGUUUCUGUUUUUUUGUAUGCGAAUAAUACUUGAUUAAACGAAGCAGCUGAAUCCUGCACCAUAGAUGGUGAAAGUCCAGUAGUUGAAAAUCGAUGUACAUAUUCGUUUUUCUAAUCCCGAGUAGCAUGGGACNCGUGAAAUCCCGUGUGAAUCAGCGAGGACCACCUCGUAAGGCUAAAUACUCCUGAGUGACCGAUAGUGAAAAAGUACCGCGAGGGAAAGGUGAAAAAGAACCCCUGGCAGCUUGCUGCCAAUGUCGGGGAGUGAAAUAGAACAUGAAACCGUACGCUGUCAAUCAGUGGGAGGGAUAAGAUCCUGACCGCGUGCCUGUUGAAGAAUGAGCCGGCGACUUAUAGGAAGUGGCAUAGGUUAAGGACAAAAUCUGUAGCCAAAGCGAAAGCGAGUCUGAAUAGGGCGUAUGUUAAGUCACUUUUUAUGGACCCGAACCCGGGUGAUCUAACCAUGACCAGGAUGAAGCUUGGGUAACACCAAGUGGAGGACCGAACCGACCGAUGUUGAAAAAUCGGCGGAUGAGUUGUGGUUAGUUGGUGAAAUGCCAAUCGAACUCGGAGCUAGCUGGAUCUCCCCGAAAUGCGUUGAGGCGCAGCGGUAUACGAUGGGCUAUCUAGGGGUAAAGCACUGUUUCGGUGCGGGCUGCGAGAGCGGUACCAAAUCGUAGCAAACUAAGAAUACUAGAUAUUGCUUUCCGUAUACCAGUGAGACGGUGGGGGAUAAGCUUCAUCGUCAAAAGGGAAACAGCCCAGAUCACCAGCUAAGGCCCCUAAAUGGUUGCUAAGUGGUAAAGGAUGUGAGAAUGCAGAGACAACCAGGAGGUUUGCUUAGAAGCAGCCACCCUUAAAAGAGUGCGUAAUAGCUCACUGGUAGAGCGUUCUUGCGCCGAAAAUGAUCGGGACUAAGCAAUCUGCCGAAGCUGUGGGAUUGAUUUCAAUUCAAUCGGUAGGGGAGCGUUCCGCUUUAGGGUGAAGCAUGAUUGUGAAUGAUUGUGGACGAAGCGGAAGUGAGAAUGUCGGCUUGAGUAACGAAAACAUUGGUGAGAAUCCAAUGCCCCGAAAACCUAAGGGUUCCUUUACAAGGUUCGUCCAUGAAGGGUGAGUCAGGGCCUAAGGCGAGGCCGAAAGGCGUAGUCGAUGGAAAACAGGUUAAUAUUCCUGUACUAAGAUGGGUUCGGUACCGAGGGACGAAGUAGGCAAAAGCUAGCCGAUUUUUGGUUUUCGGUGGAAACGUUCGAGGUGUUGAUAGGUAGAAGAAAAACUAACCUUGAGCUGAGACGUGAUCCGAUUUGAGUUUUUAACUCGAAUUUAGUAUGGAGUCAAACUUCCAAGAAAAGCUCGUAUUACUUAUGAACAAAUCUUACCUGUACCCGAAACCGACACAGGUAGGUUGGUAGAGUAUACCAAGGGGCGCGAGAUAACUCUCUCUAAGGAACUCGGCAAAAUGGCCCCGUAACUUCGGGAGAAGGGGUGCCCUCUAAAACGAGGGUUGCAGUGACCAGGCCCAGGCGACUGUUUACCAAAAACACAGGUCUCCGCUAAGUCGUAAGACAAUAUAUGGGGGCUGACGCCUGCCCAGUGCCGGAAGGUGAAGGAAGUUGGUUAUUUCUUCGGAAAGAAGCUGACGACCGAAGCCCCGGUGAACGGCGGCCGUAACUCUGACGGUCCUAAGGUAGCGAAAUUCCUUGUCGCGUAAGUUGCGACCCGCACGAAAGGCGUAACGAUCUGGGCACUGUCUCGGAGAGAGACUCGGUGAAAUAGACAUGUCCGUGAAGAUGCGGACUUCCUGCACCAGGACAGAAAGACCCUAUGAAGCUUGACUGUAGCUUGAAAUUGGGUUUGGGCUCUUCUUGCGCAGCCUAGGUGGGAGGCUAUGAAAAUUUUCUUCCGGGAAAAUGGGAGCCAACAGUGAGAGACCACUCUGGAAGAGCUAGAAUCCUAAGAGCGUUCCUUGAAUCAGGACGCUUAACAGUUUCAGGCGGGCAGUUUUUCUGGGGCGGAAGCCUCCUAAAAGGUAACGGAGGCGUGCAAAGGUUCCCUCAGGCUGGACGGAAAUCAGCUGUAGAGCGUAAAGGCAGAAGGGAGCUUGACUGCAAGACCUACAAGUCGAGCAGGGGCGAAAGCCGGCCUUAGUGAUCCGACGGUACCGCGUGGAAGGGCCGUCGCUCAACGGAUAAAAGUUACUCUAGGGAUAACAGGCUGAUCUUCCCCAAGAGUUCACAUCGACGGGAAGGUUUGGCACCUCGAUGUCGGCUCAUCGCAACCUGGGGCGGUAGUACGUCCCAAGGGUUGGGCUGUUCGCCCAUGAAAGCGGUACGUGAGCUGGGUUCAGAACGUCGUAAGACAGUUCGGUCCAUAUCCGGUGUAGGCGUUAGAGCAUUGAGAGGAGCUCGACAUUGUACGAGAGGACCCGAAGGACGCACCGAUGGUAUACCAGUUCUCGUGCCAACGGGAAACGCUGGGUAGCUAUGUGCGGAGUGGAUAAGUGCUGAAAGCAUCUAA